GAAUUUGUCUCCGGACAUUCUCUCAUACACUUGUGAACUUACACUGUUGCUUGGUGGAGAUGCGGUCCAGAAAUGGAUGCGCGCCACCGAGAUUUUUUCACCCAUCUUAUGUCUGAAUACAAACAAAAAUAAAAACAAAACUUUCAACAAUGGAUCUCUUGGCUCU
rnacentral:misc_RNA from 1 species